rnacentral:rRNA from 1 species
GCAAUGGGAUGCGAAUCUCGAAAGCCUGUCUCAGUUCGGAUUGGAGGCUGAAACCCGCCUCCAUGAAGUUGGAUUCGCUAGUAAUCGCGCAUCAGCCAUGGCGCGGUGAAUACGUUCCCGGGCCUUGUACACGCCGCCCGUCAAGCCAUGGGAGCCGGGGGUGCCUGAAGUUCGUGACCGCAAGGAGCGACCUAGGGCAAAACUGGUGACUGGGGCUAAGUCGUAACAAGGUAAC